UUGAACGCUGGCGGCAGGCCUAACACAUGCAAGUCGAACGGUAACAGGAAACAGCUUGCUGUUUCGCUGACGAGUGGCGGACGGGUGAGUAAUGUCUGGGAAACUGCCCGAUGGAGGGGGAUAACUACUGGAAACGGUAGCUAAUACCGCAUAACGUCGCAAGACCAAAGAGGGGGACCUUCGGGCCUCUUGCCAUCGGAUGUGCCCAGAUGGGAUUAGCUAGUAGGUGGGGUAACGGCUCACCUAGGCGACGAUCCCUAGCUGGUCUGAGAGGAUGACCAGCCACACUGGAACUGAGACACGGUCCAGACUCCUACGGGAGGCAGCAGUGGGGAAUAUUGCACAAUGGGCGCAAGCCUGAUGCAGCCAUGCCGCGUGUAUGAAGAAGGCCUUCGGGUUGUAAAGUACUUUCAGCGGGGAGGAAGGGAGUAAAGUUAAUACCUUUGCUCAUUGACGUUACCCGCAGAAGAAGCACCGGCUAACUCCGUGCCAGCAGCCGCGGUAAUACGGAGGGUGCAAGCGUUAAUCGGAAUUACUGGGCGUAAAGCGCACGCAGGCGGUUUGUUAAGUCAGAUGUGAAAUCCCCGGGCUCAACCUGGGAACUGCAUCUGAUACUGGCAAGCUUGAGUCUCGUAGAGGGGGGUAGAAUUCCAGGUGUAGCGGUGAAAUGCGUAGAGAUCUGGAGGAAUACCGGUGGCGAAGGCGGCCCCCUGGACGAAGACUGACGCUCAGGUGCGAAAGCGUGGGGAGCAAACAGGAUUAGAUACCCUGGUAGUCCACGCCGUAAACGAUGUCGACUUGGAGGUUGUGCCCUUGAGGCGUGGCUUCCGGAGCUAACGCGUUAAGUCGACCGCCUGGGGAGUACGGCCGCAAGGUUAAAACUCAAAUGAAUUGACGGGGGCCCGCACAAGCGGUGGAGCAUGUGGUUUAAUUCGAUGCAACGCGAAGAACCUUACCUGGUCUUGACAUCCACGGAAGUUUUCAGAGAUGAGAAUGUGCCUUCGGGAACCGUGAGACAGGUGCUGCAUGGCUGUCGUCAGCUCGUGUUGUGAAAUGUUGGGUUAAGUCCCGCAACGAGCGCAACCCUUAUCCUUUGUUGCCAGCGGUCCGGCCGGGAACUCAAAGGAGACUGCCAGUGAUAAACUGGAGGAAGGUGGGGAUGACGUCAAAUCAUCAUGCCCCUUAUGAUUUGGGCUACACACGUGCUACAAUGGCGCAUACAAAGAGAAGCGACCUCGCGAGAGCAAGCGGACCUCAUAAAGUGCGUCGUAGUCCGGAUUGGAGUCUGCAACUCGACUCCAUGAAGUCGGAAUCGCUAGUAAUCGUGGAUCAGAAUGCCACGGUGAAUACGUUCCCGGGCCUUGUACACACCGCCCGUCACACCAUGGGAGUGGGUUGCAAAAGAAGUAGGUAGCUUAACCUUCGGGAGGGCGCUUACCACUUUGUGAUUCAUGACUGGGGUG
rnacentral:rRNA from 1 species